UCAUUUGUGACUUUGAACAGAUUUGGGCUGCAAAUGCUGGAGUAACUGCUAGCCCUCCCACUGACUUCAUCUGGAGGAACCAGAAUUCCUGGGGCACUGGUGAAGAUGUGGAAGUUGUGCUGAAAAAUUCUCAGGGGCAGGAAGUUGCUCAGAGAAGGACUGUCUUUAAAACAACUGUAGAUGCAGAGGAAGAGGAGGAAGGUGAAGAAAUUCUUGAAGCUGUUAUCCACCAACAGGAGAGACCAAGGAAAUCUGACAGAAACUGUGCGAUCAUGUAAACUCUUUCCAGUCAUCCAGGUUCUUCAAAUAAUGGUGAUCACUGUCUACAGAAUAGCCUUCUCAGAAGCACAGUGUAUUUUUGUAGUUUAUUUCUGUAAGUUCUUAAGCUGAAAGUCUAAUGGCCUUAAUUUCCUGACAUUGAAAAUGAAGUUUUGUAAAAGAAACUGUACCUGUAGCUUGCUGUUAGGAUAUGAACUGGUGAUUCUGAACUCUGUGUACUGUUUGAAAAUGACAUUCCCUACCCAUAGUUUUAUAUGCCAGUCUUUUUAAAUAGAAACUUUAGAAGUUUCUGCAUUCCAGGGAUUGAUUUUUCUCCAGCCAUCUAUUGUUGACUUCUUUGUAUUUAGGUGCUAUUUGGGAAGGGAAAGGCAUUUUCAAUACUAUGAACUCUUUUUGUACUGAAGACUUCUUUUAAGCGCGAUCAAAGACGAACAACUUUCUUAUAGAAAAUAGACUUUUUCUAAAAAAGAAAAAAGGGGAUAAACCGUAAAAUCAUGUAAGCACUCAAUUCAUGAAGGAUGCAGUAAAAAAAAAAACAACUUUCUAUUGCUACUUUGCUUAGGUUUCUUACUCUGGAAAGGGGAUUCAUGUUAAACGUGUUAGUUGUAUUGUUAAGGUAGUGUAUCAGCUUAAAUUUGCUUACAUGGUUUUUUUGUAACAAAGUCAAUUUUAGUAUUGAUUGCUUUGCUUGCUUACAGUUUUUAGGAUCAGAUCCAAGUCUUCUAGAAAUCUACUCUGUUUCUAUGGAAAACAACUGUAAUUCUGUCAGUGUGGAAAGUUUCAAUUCUUUCUGCAUUUAUUUACUGUUUGAAAGUUUUGAAUAAAGAAUAAAUAAAGUAUGAUACUUCAUA